UGCCGCCCGCUCGCGAGCAAAGUUUUAACCCCGGGAAAGAAGAAAGUUAAAGCCAACCGGCCUGGGAUGCUCCAGAGGGCGAGAGCGAGCGGGUGGGAACCUGGGAGCCCGAGAAAGAACAGCAGAGACAAAGAGAAAGCGAGAGGAGCGCCCGGGGAAACCCCGGAGAGGGGGCAGGGCCCGCGCGCACCCUGUGGGGGUGGGGUGGGGGCGAGGACGGCUUUCUCCCUCCAAGUCCCAGCCAAACACAUCUGUGUUUGUUUUCUUUUCUGCGCCGAGGUCCGGCCUUCCUCUAACCCAGCCUGGUGGCCCGGGUGGCACCGCGCACAGGGCCGUGCCCCUAUGGCCACUCAACCCCAGAGGUGUACGGAAGGGGAACAGGAAGGGGACGUGAACUCUACCUGCUCUUUACUCCUGCCCCGAGGCCCUAGGGCCUGAAAGCUGUGGUGGACUCGAGGCUAAAGGCCAAGAAGCUACGACGCACCUGAAGGGUGGCCUACUCAGGCAAAUUGGUCCCAAUUUUUUCUCUUCUGGUGAUGUUUACGGAGCUUGGGUUUGUGACCAGCCUGCAGCCUCUCCCACUGAAUGUACUUUACAGUUGCCUGUGCCCCUUCCUGAAGCAUGCUGCCUUCUGAGGAGACAAAUGAACAAAACAGAUGUCCAAGUGUUUCUUCUCAAAGUGGGGGUUAUAAAUACACCCCAUGAAGGCAUGUCGGUCUCUGAACAGCAGGAUCCAGGGUACAAAUGAGUUCAAAACAACAGUAGAGCUCUUGGCAUCAAGCAGUUCAAAUCAAUGACAUUGAAAGCAACUGCUUGGUUACCCCUGCUUUGGACAGUGCUGCUAAGGUGCGAUUUCCAUCCUCUCUGAAACGUCUUCUGGACAGAGCUAAUGAGAGAAUUCGGGAAGACCGAAGAAUUAUGGUGAAAGGUUACUGAGGAGGCUGUGACCUCAAACUGGAUGCCAGAGAUCAGGUGGAGGGAGAUCGUUAACCCAUCGCUGGUAAGAAGAACAGAUGUUGGAGUUAAAAUAGCUUUAUGGAGGACUGGAGAGAAGUCGGUGGUUAAAAGCACUUGAUAUUCGUCCAAAGAACCCAGAUUCCAUUUCCAGCACCCACAUGAUAGCAGAGCCAACUCCCUCUCCUGAACUCCAUGAGCACCAGACACACAACAGGGUACGUCAAUAGACAUGCAAGCAAAACCCUCAUAAACAUAGAAGAAAACCAGUAAAUGCUAACUUUUUAAAAAGUCUGAUGCCAGAGUUCAGAGCUCUUAGCACCUGCGAACAGGGCAGCAUGGCAAGGCUCAGUCCUUGGAGAAAAGGGAGGAGCUUGAAGUCUGCCAGCAUGUAAACUGUGGCCUGGAUCCGCUGCACUUCUGAGCACCUCUCCACUACAGUUAAGACCUCCAGGACUUGGUUCCGAGGACCCCAUCGUGGAAUAAAAACUUUAACCAGAGGUGACAUACAGGCAGCACCCUCAGGCCUUCCGGCUCCUCACCUCCUCACAAUGCUGAGUUCUGAGCUUUGGAAGUGGUGUUGGUUAUAUUUCGGUAUGGUAAAUCUCCUGGCUAGAGUCCAGUUGGAAGCAUCUUUCAUGAUCCAGAACCCAGUCCCAAGGGAAUGAAUUUGGUAUUAGAAAGAACCUCCUAAGGCAGUGGUUCUCAACCUGUGGGUCACCACCCCUUUGGGGAGUCACUGCAACGGGAGGGGCUGAAAGGGUAGCGGCAUUAGGAACGGGGAGAACCAUUGCUGUGAGGGAACUCUGGUCAACAGGGACCUUGAGAGUUCUUCAUUCAGAGGUGUUUAUAACCUGAGGUCAGAAAUCUUCCAUUCUUCCACGGGGCCGGAAACUCCCAGAUGAGGCUGGUGGCGGACUAGUAACUGCUGGAUUGGUGAUGCUCCGAGUGAAGUGAAGAAUCUAUCCCAGCCAGCCUGAGGGUGCAGGUCAGAAUUCCCAAAGGCGUUGCUGUGUAAAGGUCCAGGGCAGGCCUUAGUGCCUCAUCUCGUGCCCCCGUCCCCACCCUCUCAGACUGCAGAGAAGGAAACGAAGGCAAUGGAGACUAAAACCGCCUCACCAGGGAUGUUUCAAGAGAUGGCUGUGAGUCACUGAAUGGCGUGUGGGUCGCCCAUCCAACCCCACCCAGAGAACACCUGCUCCAUUCUACUCUGCUGAUUUAGGUGGGGGAGGGUCAUGGUUUUGAUGGGGGGGGGGAAAUAGUUCUUUUAAACUGGAAAAUGAUGACAUUAGAAAGUUUCUAUGCUUAAAGGUGUGAGCUUCUGUUGACCACAAAAUUCAAUUAUAUGGAACAGCUUACUUUCCCCCAAACGUCAGUAAAAAUGAGCUGUUACUGGUUUAUAUGUCACAUGGAGCAAAGCUAGAGACCUGACUCCAAGAGGCAGCAUGGGAGAACAGACACGGAUCACUGAUUCCAAACAGAUUGGGUAAGCGCAUGGACAUUUCAACCGGAACAAGGUGUCAAGGGAAACUAGGAAUUUGGAGGCUCAGAAGCUGACAUCAGUUAGGAGGGCCACCAUGCCAGCCUCAGAACGAUGCCAGAGACUACAUACAGCUGAUGUAUACAGCUCAGCCUCGGGGGGCACUGCCACGCCUGAGGCCGAGCACCUGGCUUAUGGGGUCUCACGGGGAGCUGCUUGGGUGGCCAGCAGACCCACGAUUGCGCACCUGCAUUAACAUCCUGUGAUUCUGGGCAAAGCACUUCACCUCCCUGGGCACAGAUUUCCUCAUGUGAAAAAAUGUGGAUAGAAACCCUCUCUUCCUCCCUCCCCCUCUUCUUCCCUUCAUUCUGUGGUUAUCAAGAGGCUGGGGGUAAAGCUAGGUGAUAAAGUUCAGGCCUAGAAUGAUGAUUAAUCCCAACUGUCAAGUUGUGAGGACUAGAAUCACCCAGGAGAAGGGAUUCUGGCCAUGGUAUGUCAACGGAGGUGGGAAGACCCGCCCACUGUGAGUGGCAUCAUUCCCUAGGCUAAGACUCUGGCCUGUAUUUUAAAAAGUGAGCUGACCACAGACAUUUGUCUCCCUCUGCUUCUUGACUGUGGAUGCCAUGUGAGGAGCCUCCUCCAGCUCCUGCUGCUGGGACAUCCCCAAACUAGGAUGAACUCUGAGUCAAAAUAAACACCUUUUCCCUCAAAUUAUUUCUGUCAGGGUACUUUGUCACAGCCUCGGAGAAGUCGCCGAGAUCCCCCAGCAAGCUCAAAGGCACCAAGUUUGAUCCCUGACCCUUUAAAGCAAAAUCAUCUUCAAAAGACCUCGACGUGUCAAAAGCACUAACUGAUUUUAGUUCGUAAAGAAUCAGCUAGCCAGACACUACUACUUCUACCGUCCACCAGGGGACCCACUGUCUUGAGAGAGAUACAAAUUAGCUUGAACAACUGGAGAUCAUGUAUGAGGAAAUGAGAGUAGACAUCACAGAAAUAUUGGCCCACAUUGUUAAUAAAAUAUUAUUAAUAAGACAAUGAGCCUACGUGGUAAACAAAGUGGUGAAGUCAUGCCGUCAUAAUCAUCCACUAUAAUGGCAGCGAGCACUUUUGGAACACUUGGCUCACUGUUGAUGGUCCUGGGUGCUUGGAAGGCCCUGGUGGUGGUGGAGAAGCCAGCUGUGAAUUGUCUUAGGGAAGAGAGAGGUGGAGACCAUAAAUUGAACUGGGAUGAUCAGCCCUAGGAAUGGCUGCUCAUUCCUGUAUCCUAAACACCUAGCACGGAACUUUGCAGAGUGGGCACCAGAAGCACUCUUUGAUAAGGGAACCCAGAAGGGCCUGGGUAGAAUGUCUAAAUGUUAAAUGUCGGGAACACGGAAUUUCUGGUGUUUGGUAGUAUAUCUGGGGUUGAGUUUAUUGGGUCUAAUUCGGUUCUUCCUCUAGGAGCUGUUUUCCCAUCACUCACGUGGCAAGUCUUCACUUUGUCCUAGAACCUGGACGAUCCUUGGCAAUCCUGGACGAUCCUUGAGAUGCACCGAUGCGUCCAAUGUCCUCUGGCUCCAGAGUAGGACCCAAGGUUUUCCACCAGGAGCCAAGGCCCCUUUCUUGUACUGGGUAGCAUCGCCCACAUACCAAGGGCUCAGGAGGCCACUGGCUCCUGCCUGGGCCCCCUCCUCUAAGAUCUGAUUCUCUCAUCAUCUGGUUAGUCUCAGCAGCUCACAGCAAAGGGAUGAACCAAGCUGACCUUUCUGGAGGUUUGUUUAAAGCAGAACAAUGUUUGUCUUGUCCAAACACUAUGAAUUACUCCUGAGGAUCCUGCCCGGUUUUACAAUCCACAGCUACAAAUGGCUUACAUAAAUAGGGACUUGUCCCACCCCCUGCCCCCUCUCCACUCCUAACGGUUUUUCUUCCCCCUGUUCACUGUCUCUCAUUCUUUCUGUCCAUCUUUCUGCUACCUCACACCUUCUCCUAGCCUGUGUCUUUCUAGCCCAGUGUGGUAAAGGAUCAGGUGCUAGAUUUUUCUAGGUCAGAGCUCAUACCUGGCUUAUUGCUGGCACACGUCCCACUGUGGCUGGCCGCCCCGUCCCUGCUAUAGACAGGUUUCCCUGGCUAAGGGAACUGUGCUGUCUGUGCAGUGCUGGCAGCGUUCAAGCUGAGGUCCGACUAUGGCAGCAGCCAGCCUAUAGCCCCAUCUAACCGGAUGCUGAGCUCCCUACGUUGCUCUGAUUGGCUGUAAAUUCUUGGGACUUGACUGUAGUUUCUAGAAGUAGGCUCCACUCACUAUGCUACCAGUGUGCUUGUCUGCCUUUGCUGAUCAAAUAAGAGCUCUGGAGAACAAUCAGAGGCUGUGAGCCUGGGAGAGAGGGGUCUUCUGGGAAGAGCCCAGUGUGGGCUGCAUUUCUGUAGUAUGGUCCUUGUGCCACUGACUUCAGUGUUUGGGGAAGCUCAUUUAAAAUGUGGUGUUCUAGGCCAGUGAUAUGGCUCCGUGGAUAAAAACACUUGCCACCACCAACCUUGAUGGCCUAAAUUUGAUUGUCAGGACCCGCGUGUGGAGAGAACUGACUCCCACAAGUUGUCCUCUAACCUCCACAUUCACUAUGGCACGGGUGUUUGGAGUACACCGUAAAAUGAACAAAAAAAUGUAAAAACAUAAAUGUAUAAAAAUGGAGAUAAAUUAAUGCGGUGUUCUGACUCUGUCCUCCCCCCCCUCACCUAGAGACACUUAGCAGUUUCUAGGAGAGUUGGAGUCUAGUACCCAGUUGCAGCAAGGGGUGGGUGGAGCCACCCUGAGAGAAAAUGCAGGGCUGCUAACACUCCAAGGAGGUGUUGGUGAAGACUUGGGAACAUGCCAGGGGUGUGUGCUCUCAGGGUUGGUGGCUGGAGGUGUGAGGACUGUGUGGGAUCCUUCUACCCAGAGCCUCCAGCACUUGGGGCCAAAUGUGAUCUCAUUUUACCCUUGUUUUGCAAACGAGGAAACUGAGCCUCAGAAGGGAGGAGUGACUUCCAGUCAGAAGUUGGUGAGUGGCAUGGAAUUCCAUCUCCUGAGCACACCCUGGCCUUUCCAGAAUAGCCCCUUCCCAGCCUCUCUUUGCAGGUUCAGACCCUGAAGAAGUCAACACCUCAGGGCCAAUCUGCCAAGCCAGGUGGACACCCAAGGAGCCCUGUCCUCAGGAAAAUCGUCCCAAGACCUUCCCUCUGGAUGGAACAAAGCCAGCUCAGCCCACUCUCCUUCUCCAGAGCCCUGCUGUGGGCAUUAGGGCUGCGGCUGGAGCGCAGGAUCCCAUCCCACCAGAAGACAGGGGGCGCCACCAGGGAAAGGCUCCAACAUUCAGACCAGUAGAC